GCGUCGGUGGUAUAACGGUUAGCAUAGCUGCCUUCCAAGCAGUUGACCGGUUUGACUCCCCGGGCCCACGCC